GGUGGUGACCAAGUGGUUAGUAUGCUUAUUUUCAGUGCGGAAGAUUCCCGGUUCAACCCCACUCCCGCCACAUUUCUCCAUGUAAUGUAGAGUUGGGUCAGGAAGGGCAUCUGGUGUAAAACCUGUGCCAAUUCA